rnacentral:rRNA from 1 species
GUGAACGCUGGCGGUAGGCCUAACACAUGCAAGUCGAACGGCAGCACAGUAAGAGCUUGCUCUUACGGGUGGCGAGUGGCGGACGUGUGAGGAAUACAUCGGAAUCUACUUUUUCGUGGGGGAUAACGUAGGGAAACUUACGCUAAUACCGCAUACGACCUACGGGUGAAAGCAGGGGAUCUUCGGACCUUGCGCGAUUGAAUGAGCCGAUGUCGGAUUAGCUAGUUGGCGGGGUAAAGGCCCACCAAGGCGACGAUCCGUAGCUGGUCUGAGAGGAUGAUCAGCCACACUGGAACUGAGACACGGUCCAGACUCCUACGGGAGGCAGCAGUGGGGAAUAUUGGACAAUGGGCGCAAGCCUGAUCCAGCCAUACCGCGUGGGUGAAGAAGGCCUUCGGGUUGUAAAGCCCUUUUGUUGGGAAAGAAAAGCAGCAGGUUAAUACCCCGCUGUUCUGACGGUACCCAAAGAAUAAGCACCGGCUAACUUCGUG